GGCUGGGAACAGCCUCAGGUCUGAAAGCAGAGCAGUCACUCCAUUAGAUCAGAAUGAAUGAAGAAGUGGAUGGAAAUGAAGGAAAGGAGCAGAAUGGUGCUAAUGCAUUCAGACACACAGUCCUGUCAUCUUGGAAUUGGCAAGGUCCGUCCUGGGUCAUUUCAGCACACUGAACAUCAGCUUCCUACUCAGCGGAAACCUUCCACUCAUCCAUUUCUUCAGACCCUGAACUGACUUAAGCACAAUCCCCAAACUGACUGGAGCACAUUC